AGCAUAUCAAUAAGCGGAGGAAAAGAAACUAACAAGGAUUCCCCUAGUAACGGCGAGUGAAGAGGGAAGAGCCCAAGAUUGAAAGCUGGCGUCUUCGGCGUCCGCAUUGUAAUCUCAAGAAGUGUUUUCCGCUUCGGACCAAGCCUAAGUCCCCUGGAAAGGGGCAUCAUAGAGGGUGAUAAUCCCGUACAUGGCUUGGAGCGCCCGUAGCUUUGUGAUACACUUUCUAAGAGUCGAGUUGUUUGGGAAUGCAGCUCAAAAUGGGUGGUAAAUGCCAUCUAAGGCUAAAUAUUGGGGAGAGACCGAUAGCGAACAAGUACAGUGAUGGAAAGAUGAAAAGAACUUUGAAAAGAGAGUUAAACAGUACGUGAAAUUGCCAAAAGGGAAGGGUAGGAGGUCAGAGAUGCGGCCUAGGAUUCAGCCUUGCUUUUGCUUGGUGUUUUUCCUAGAUUGCAGGCCAACGUCGGUUUUGGGCACUGGAGAAGGGUGGAAGGAACGUGGCACCUCUCGGGGUGUGUUAUAGCCUUCUACUGGAUACAGCGACCGAGACCGAGGACAGCAGCGUACUCGCAAGAGCGGGCCUUCGGGCACCUUUACGCUUAGGGCGUUGGCAUAAUGGCCCUCUACCACCCGUCUUGAAACACGGACCAAGGAGUCUAACAUGUAUGCGAGUCUUUGGGUGGCAAACCCAUAGGCGCAAUGAAAGUGAAUUCAGGUGGGAUCCGCAAGGUGCACCAUCGACCGAUCCUCACGUCAUUUAUGUCGUGGAUUUGAGUAAGAGCAUACCUGUUGGGACCCGAAAGAUGGUGAACUAUGCCUGAAUAGGGUGAAGCCAGAGGAAACUCUGAUGGAGGCUCGUAGCGGUUCUGACGUGCAAAUCGAUCGUCAAAUUUGGGUAUAGGGGCGAAAGACUAAUCGAACCAUCUAGUAGCUGGUUCCUGCCGA
rnacentral:rRNA from 1 species